GUAAAGAGCUUGUAGGCGGUUUGUCGCGUCUGCUGUGAAAAUCCGGGGCUCAACCCCGGACUUGCAGUGGGUACGGGCAGACUAGAGUGUGGUAGGGGAGACUGGAAUUCCUGGUGUAGCGGUGAAAUGCGCAGAUAUCAGGAGGAACACCGAUGGCGAAGGCAGGUCUCUGGGCCACUACUGACGCUGAGAAGCGAAAGCAUGGGGAGCGAACAGGAUUAGAUACCCUGGUAGUCCAUGCCGUAAACGUUGGGCGCUAGGUGUGGGACUCAUUCCACGAGUUCCGUGCCGCAGCUAACGCAUUAAGCGCCCCGCCUGGGGAGUACGGCCGCAAGGCUAAAACUCAAAGGAAUUGACGGGGGCCCGCACAAGCGGCGGAGCAUGCGGAUUAAUUCGAUGCAACGCGAAGAACCUUACCAAGGCUUGACAUAUACCGGAAACAUCCAGAGAUGGGUGCCCCUUUUGGUCGGUAUACAGGUGGUGCAUGGUUGUCGUCAGCUCGUGUCGUGAGAUGUUGGGUUAAGUCCCGCAACGAGCGCAACCCUCGUUCUAUGUUGCCAGCACGUGAUGGUGGGGACUCAUAGGAGACUGCCGGGGUCAACUCGGAGGAAGGUGGGGAUGACGUCAAAUCAUCAUGCCCCUUAUGUCUUGGGCUUCACGCAUGCUACAAUGGCCGGUACAAAGGGCUGCGAUACCGCAAGGUGGAGCGAAUCCCAAAAAACCGGUCUCAGUUCGGAUUGGGGUCUGCAACAUCGACCCCAUGAAGUCGGAGUCGCUAGUAAUCGCAGAUCAGCAACGCUGCGG
rnacentral:rRNA from 1 species